UACGGAGGGUGCAAGCGUUAUCCGGAUUUACUGGGUUUAAAGGGAGCGCAGGCGGAUUGGUAAGUCAGUGGUGAAAUACCCGUGCUUAACAUGGGAACUGCCAUUGAUACUAUCAGUCUUGAAUGUUGUUGAGGUUUGCGGAAUGGGUCAUGUAGCGGUGAAAUGCAUAGAUAUGACCCGGAACACCUAUUGCGAAGGCAGCAGGCUAAACAAAUAUUGACGCUGAGGCUCGAAAGCGUGGGGAU
rnacentral:rRNA from 1 species